ACAGUUUCUCCAGCUUAACAGCAACACAUGAAUUUCUCUGAACCAGGCCUGUAGAUGUCAACUUCGACCAAAGAAAAAGUUCCACCUUGUAUGCAAAAACUAAUAGAAAUUGAACAAGUUUUUCCUGUUCAUAUUCUCUUUCUAGAUUUUCCCCUUUUUUUUCACAACAAAUUCACAACAAAAAUUCAAAUUAAAAAGGGUUUGUCAACAUUGUCAUUUUCACAAGCGAUAGCCAUCAUCAAACUCUCUAUUGAUUACCCAAAAUAAAACAAGCAAAUAACCACAAAAUUGCCAAGCAAUGGAGCGAUCGAUGAGAGAAUCCCACUGACCUAUAUACCAUCGAUAUCAUUUUCGUGAACUAGUUUGCUCAGCAGAGUAGUCAGCAGAGCAUCUCUCCUUUCAGCCCUGCUCUCUUCCCUUAUCCGCCUCUGUUCUUCCCUCUCCCUCCAAUUCUGCUCAAUCAUUAAUCUUUCUCUUUCAAUUUUCUCCAUGGACUCUCUCCAUUCCUGC
rnacentral:misc_RNA from 1 species